rnacentral:rRNA from 1 species
GGGGNUCNUUNCAUGCAGUUCGAACGGUAACGCGGGGCAACCUGGCGACGAGUGGCGAACGGGUGAGUAAUGUAUCGGAACGUGCCCAGUUGUGGGGGAUAACUGCUCGAAAGAGCAGCUAAUACCGCAUACGACCUGAGGGUGAAAGCGGGGGAUCGCAAGACCUCGCGCAAUUGGAGCGGCCGAUAUCAGAUUAGGUAGUUGGUGGGGUAAAGGCCUACCAAGCCUACGAUCUGUAGCUGGUCUGAGAGGACGACCAGCCACACUGGGACUGAGACACGGCCCAGACUCNUACGGGAGGCAGCAGUGGGGAAUUUUGGACAAUGGGGGCAACCCUGAUCCAGCCAUGCCGCGUNCGGGAAGAAGGCCUUCGGGUUGUAAACCGCUUUUGUCAGGGAAGAAAUCCUUUGAGCUAAUACCUCGGAGGGAUGACGGUACCUGAAGAAUAAGCACCGGCUAACUACGUGCCAGCAGCCGCGGUAAUACGUAGGGUGCAAGCGUUAAUCGGAAUUACUGGGCGUAAAGCGUGCGCAGGCGGUUAUGCAAGACAGAUGUGAAAUCCCCGGGCUCAACCUGGGAACUGCAUUUGUGACUGCAUGGCUAGAGUACGGUAGAGGGGGAUGGAAUUCCACGUGUAGCAGUGAAAUGCGUAGAUAUGUGGAGGAACACCGAUGGCGAAGGCAAUCCCCUGGACCUGUACUGACGCUCAUGCA